rnacentral:lncRNA from 1 species
GCGAGCGCUGAUCUCUGGGGCGGAAGAGGCUCGCGGCGCGUGGUCCCCGGCAGCAGCAGCCGCCGCCGCCCGCGCCGGGUCUUCGGCGCCCGGCCGCCCGCCCGCCCGCCUCGCCCCGCGUCUGACCCGGCCGAGCGUGGAGGCUGCUGUUGCCGCCGCUGCCCAGAGCCCAGGGGUAUCAAAACGAUCUCCUGAAAAAUUCCAAACGAUAAAUCCCGCUCUCCCGCUCGGCUCCAAACUCCUCUCUUUUCUGCUCUAGGCUCUUUUUUUUCCCUCCCUCUCUUGCUUUCUUUCGUUGCAAAACUUGGAAGUUGAAAAAUUCACCGGUUCCACCCUCUGGACCCCGCUCGAGCUCUCUCCAAAUCAGACUUAAGGAUUGUUUUAUUAUUUAAUUACACAAUCAUCGCUUUACUCCUCCUCCUGCAAACGCGCAUUCCUUUUGCACCAGCCUCUCCACACCCCCCGCCCCCCCACCUUCCUCCUCCUCCUCCUUCUCCUUCUCUCCCCCCACCUCUCCCUCAUUUGUUAAAGGUAUCCUACCGGUGCUACAGAACCAUGACUUUUUUUUUUUUUCCAAAAUAGCUCUUCUUUCCGCUGCCCUCCCCACACCAGCACACACAUACACACCCCCGAAAACCCGCCCUGGAAGAGGUAUUUCGGUGCUCGCUGCGGACUCUUUUAAGCCGCGGGAACAUCCGAGUGGGAGAAGCACCGAAACCGUCUGAGCCCGAGAAAGGAACGAGUGGAAAAUUCCCUCACACCCAGGCCGCCCCCAGGCCGGGGCUGGGGCGCGGACACUCGCACCCGGGGCGGGCUCAGUCCGCGGAGCCUGCGGCUGCCGGGAAAAGGGGGAGGCCGAGCAGGCGGGGACCUGAGCGAACUUGGGCUCAAGUAGUUGGGGCGCGCCGGCGUGGACCAGGGGGGUGCGGCGCCCAGCCCCCGACGGCCCCGCCCGGAGCCCGGGUUCGCGGAUAGGGAGGGGGUGCGGGUUCGUCCCGGGUCUGCCCACCAGGGGCCCGCACCCGAGGCAGUCGCGGCGCGCGGCGCUUCGCCGCGGUUUGCCGCCCUCCCCGGGGGUGCCCCGUGCACGUGGCCUCGCUCUGAGCGGGAGGACCGGGCCGAGCCGCCGCCGCCGCCUCUUGCUCCCUCCACCUCCUCCCCGCGCCCGGCUUCGCUCUCCUCCUCCUCCUCCUGCAGCCCCGCUGGCUGGCUCCCAAUCCCCACCCCCCGGGGCCCGGGGCGCCGGCGGAAAGCGUCUCCCUACCCGCCCGGGUGCAGGCGGGGCGGGGCCGCGGCGCGCCCGGGGCUGCGGGGCGGGCCGGCGGGCGCGCGCGCGCCGCUGCAGCCCUCCAGAGGCUGCGGGCCCUGAGCCGCUCGGCGCCCGCGCCGGCUCCCCACCGCGGCGCUGCCCCGCCCCCACCCCGUCGCCCGUGCAGGCUCCGAGUGAAUGAACUUGAUUCCAGGGAUUUUGAAGAAGGCGGUUCGCCUUGCACCCUUUCUGCACCCCCCGCCCACAUACACACACCGCCCCCCAAAUCCAGUUUUCUGCUUGGGGUGGAUGGGGACGAGGGGGAAGCAAAGGCCUCCCAGACAAUGGAGGGAGGAAAAGUGAGCGCCUGGGGCUCCGAGUCUACCUAGCUGGGGGAUCCGGGGGGCGCUGGGGCUACCGGGUCCUCGCGGGCCCAUCCCCAGGGCGGGGCCGCCCCGCUUCCACGGGUACUGCUGGGGCGUUUCGAGGCUCGCCCCCGAUUCCCCGGUCCUCUUUCCACCGCUUCCCAGCUCGUGAUCUGUCCCCUCAACUUUAGCCCCUCUCACUCCCUCUGGUUUCUGUCCACCGUCCCCUCUUCCCUCCCCCAGCGGACCUGGAGGAACCAGUGACUUUUUCCUUCACCAAGUGGGAGUUAUCCACAUCAAGCAUUUCACAACGACACAUCAAGAAAAGUAGGCAGGUUCAAGUCAACCAUGAAAUGGUCACUUUUUAACCCCGUCCUGUCCUCAUUAGGGAAAUGCUCAAACACAGUCCGUUUUCAAAGAGCGCUCUUAAUGAGGCGAGCUUGCCAAGUUUACCAGCUGCAGCCCCCGUAAACCCAGAGCCCAAAGAAGAAAGGCGCUGGGGGGUGGGGAGUUCGGGAGGCCGGGGACGGGGGCUGCUGGGACUAGGAAGACAGGUAAAGUCGGGGAGAUCGCGCGGACCCCUGCGAGUUAACCCUUUCGGCCACACGCCCUGGGAGCGGCCUCCCUGCGGUCCCCGCCCCUGCCCCGGCAAAUCCUGGAGUCAGCGUUCUGACAACGUUAAUUUCCUUUGUGCGGGUCAUUUCUUCUUUUUGAAAAGCUGGGAUAAAGUUGGCAGUCUUUAUGGAUGAAAGAAAUGAGGUGACAGGGUUAAUCCAAGUUGCAUCCAAAAGUUUUUCACAAGCUUAAAAAAGAAAAACGAAAAAUUGACAAGUAUUACACAGAAGAGCCCACAAAAGCUUCAGCAACACCAAGGGCGAAGAAGCAGCGUCAGAUCCAGGUCUGCAGGACACACCAAAGAACUCCUCCAAGUCACACAAGGGAGAAAAUUAACUUCAUUGGCUUCUAUCAGGAAAGCUAUUUUUUUUUUCCUCUUCUUUCCUGCAAGUUUCCCAAACCCCAUGACUCUGAUUUCCAGGUCAGAGACUAAGGUUUUAUUUUUCUUACUCUGUAUACUUUAUAUGUGGAGAGUCCCUGAAGGAACACUGUGAUGGGCUGAUUACUGUGAGCCAGUUGUGGGCCAGACCUGGCCUCAGGUGCUGCAAAGGGAAUUCAGUCACCCCUGUGCAGUGAUCUGUGAGCCCCAAGUCAGAUCCAACUUUUUCCUGAUAGACAGCACCCUCCUCCUCCCUACCAAGAAAUAGCAGGGUUGGAGGUAGUGACCCAAUAUUCAAGAGGUUUGAAAUUCUACAUGAGAUAUUUCUGAGUUAACUCCUAAAUAGCAGUUUCCUUAAUCAUGUGGAAAAUAAGAACACUUACUAAAGAGACCAUUGGUUUAAGAGAAAUGGAAACUUAUGUCCACGUAAAAACCUGUAAAUGAAUGUUCACAGCAGCCUUUUCAUAAUAGCCAAAAAGGGAAAGCAAUCCACACGUCCAUCAACCAAUGAAUGGAUAAACUUAACGUGGGAUAUACGUGUAAUGGAAUGCUAUUUGGUGAAGAAAGAAAUGAAAUAUUAAUACAUGCGUUAACAAGGAUGGACCUUAAAAUAUCAUGCUAAGUAAGAGAAGCCUGUCACAAAAGAAUAUGUAUUGUACCAUUCUACUUAUAUGAAAUUCCUAGAAUAGGCAAUUCUAUAGGGACAGAAACUAGACUAGUGAUUGGCUAGAGCUUGGGGAGAGUUUGGGGAGCCUGGAGGAUGACAGCAAAGUGGUGCAGAGUUUCUUUUUAGGUUGAUUAAAUGUUGUAAAAUUAAUUGUAGUGAUGGUUGUGCAACUUUGUGAUUUUGUUAAAAACCAUUGCAUUUUGCCCUUUAAAUGGAUGAAUUGCACAAUGUGUGAAUUAGACAUAAGUUUAUUUACAUAAUUAAUAUCUAUUUAUUGAUAUAUAACUCAUAUAUCAAUAAAUAUAUACUAUAUAAAAUAAUUUUAUAUUUAUAUAAAAUGUGAAUUAUAUAUAAAUACAUAAAUAAAACUGCUAAAAACUAAAAAAUAUAUACUUUAAAAAAAGGCUGUUCGUUUCUUUCACAUUUUCUGAGCACAAUCACUUUGGGAUAAAUGUGUCCAGGCUUAAAAAGCCAGAUUUUAUGGGCUAACUAAAAUGGAAAUGUGAAAAACUGUGUUUUUUUCCAUAGGAGGAGAGAGUCUGAUUUGCAGGUACGUGCAUACCCACAGCAGUCAUACUUGUAAUUCUUGGAAACUUUGCUGAAAGUUUUUUCCUAGCCUGAAAUCAUUAAAAUAUGUUGAAACAAUGACACUGAGGACUGAGGUGGAUUCGUUGUUUUUGUCUUCCCAAUGUUACUUUCUCCUUCUUUAGGUAGUAGCACCCCAGUUUUCUCUAAAAGAAACCACACACCCUAUUUCCAGUUCAUGUGGUUUGGCUAUUGCUGACCUUACACCCUAGGCUCUAUGACUCAGGCCCCAUCAGUCAGCGUAUUUUAUCCAGUGGUCUGUUGCAGCCAACUCAUAUCAACUCAUCCAAAUCAACUGGUAAAUGUUCAGAAAUUUCAUGUGCCAGUUGUUAAACACUCACCAUUAAAAUUUAAAGUUCACAACCUUAUAAUUAAAUUAUGUUAAAAAUGAAGGUAAUGAUACAUCAACCUUAUCAUCACUUCCUAAUCAUUUGACUGCAUUUUACUAUUAUUUAUGCUCUUGAGUUUACUUACAUCUGUUGGAUCUGGUAGUAGAAACACCGGAUAAUGGCGUGCUGCUAUACAUCUCUUCCCAAUUCCAUGUUCAUUGACUUCCCUUUGAUAGCUUGAAGUUGGCCAUGGUAGCAGCGUUUACACUACAGAACUGGGCAAAUGCUACAAGAUCAGGGUAUACCCUUUCUUGCCAAGGAGAUUGUUAAACUGGCAGCUGUAGUGGGUUGAAUGGUGGCCCCUAAAAAGAUAUGUCCAAAUCCUAGCCUGUGGAACUUGUGAAUGUGACCUUAUU